rnacentral:rRNA from 1 species
AUUGAACGCUGGCGGCAUGCCUUACACAUGCAAGUCGAACGGUAACAGGUCUUCGGAUGCUGACGAGUGGCGAACGGGUGAGUAAUACGUCGGAACGUGCCUAGUAGUGGGGGAUAACUACUCGAAAGAGUGGCUAAUACCGCAUGAGAUCUACGGAUGAAAGCAGGGGAUCGCAAGACCUUGUGCUACUAGAGCGGCCGAUGGCAGAUUUGGUAGUUGGUGGGAUAAAAGCUUACCAAGCCGACGAUCUGUAGCUGGUCUGAGAGGACGAUCAGCCACACUGGGACUGAGACACGGCCCAGACUCCUACGGGAGGCAGCAGUAGGGAAUUUUGGACAAUGGGCGAAAGCCUGAUUCAGCAAUGCCGCGUGCAGGAUGAAGGCCUUCGGGUUGUAAACUGCUUUUGUACGGAACGAAAAGCCCCGGGUUAAUACCCUGGGGUCAUGACGGUACCGUAAGAAUAAGCACCGGCUAACUACGUGCCAGCCGCCGCGGUAA